UAAAACUCCGCGUUCUUAGUUUUCCCACUAAAGGCCUACAUUACAGAAGCCUUUCUCUGAUGGUGAGUUUGUGAAGACAUGCAUGCAUGCCCGACGUGGCCACGCUGCAGAAAUGGCCCCUGCAAUCAUCACCCAUUCGCCAACACAGGUGGAUGGAAGUUUAACAAAAAAAGGGAGAGAGAAAGCGAGAAAACCGAACAGUGUGAAACGAUCAGGAUCCGCAUUGCGCAGUGGUGGGUCCGACAUGAGAACAUAAAAAACUCGGUGUCCUUCAGGUUUUGAUUCGGCCGGACUGAUGCCAGCAAUCGUUGGGGCAGCGAUUUGCUGGGCUUUUAGGUCGAUGAUCCUCUGGAACGCGGCAAGGAGACAGCCUUGAAAAGCUCACCGGACCGGAGGGGAAGAGGGAACUAAAGUCACCUUUUUUCUUUGUGACUAAAGCACAAAUAUAUUUCUGUGGGGCCGUUUAUUUAGCCCGCAUGUUGCUCAGUGAGUGGCAGUGUUGCUUUUCCCAUGCAGCAUCAAAGGCUUGAAUUCCACCUCUGUCUUGUUUGCCUUGAGUUGACGCAUUCUCUGUGCGUUGCAUAAGUUUCCUCUGAAAACCUAUUCUCCACAGUCCAAAGACACGUGUAGCAUGUGACUGUGUGUGUACAUGUCCUGCCAAAAACCCUAUAACUAUACCUGUCCAGAAUAAAUGGUUGGAAGACAGAUGGUUUUUAAUGUAGUUUAAACUGCUGAAAGUUUCCCCUUCAUUAAAAAUUUGUACACAGAUGCACACACAUGCAUAUUUGUGCUUAGAUCUUCAGAGAACUU